rnacentral:rRNA from 1 species
UACAGAGGGUGCGAGCGUUGUCCGGAAUUAUUGGGCGUAAAGAGCUUGUAGGCGGUUUGUCGCGUCUGCUGUGAAAAUCCGGGGCUCAACCCCGGACUUGCAGUGGGUACGGGCAGACUAGAGUGUGGUAGGGGAGACUGGAAUUCCUGGUGUAGCGGUGAAAUGCGCAGAUAUCAGGAAGAACACCCGUGGCUAAGGCGGUUCUCUAGUACGGUACUGACGCUGAGACGCGAAAGCGUGGGGAGCGAACAGG